CAACUUCCUUCCUCGUGCCCAG
rnacentral:miRNA from 1 species